rnacentral:rRNA from 1 species
GUUAGCGGCGGACGGGUGAGUAACACGUGGGUAACCUGCCCAUAAGAACUGGGAUAACUCCGGGAAACCGGGGCUUAAUACCGGAUAACAUUUUGAACUGCAUGGUUCGAAAUUGAAAGGCGGCUUCGGCUGUCACUUAUGGAUGGACCCGCGUCGCAUUAGCUAGUUGGUGAGGUAACGGCUCACCAAGGCAACGAUGCGUAGCCGACCUGAGAGGGUGAUCGGCCACACUGGGACUGAGACACGGCCCAGACUCCUACGGGAGGCAGCAGUAGGGAAUCUUCCGCAAUGGACGAAAGUCUGACGGAGCAACGCCGCGUGAGUGAUGAAGGCUUUUCGGGUCGUAAAACUUCUGUUGUUAGGGAA